GCCUAAUACAUGCAAGUCGAGCGCGGGAAGCAAGCAGAUCUCCUUCGGGGGUGACGCUUGUGGAACGAGCGGCGGACGGGUGAGUAACACGUGGGCAACCUACCUGUAAGACUGGGAUAACNCCGGGAAACCGGGGCUAAUACCGGAUGAUACAUAUCGUCGCAUGACGAGAUGUUGAAAGGCGGCAUAUGCUGUCACUUACAGAUGGGCCCGCGGCGCAUUAGCUAGUUGGUGAGAUAAAAGCUCACCAAGGCGACGAUGCGUAGCCGACCUGAGAGGGUGAUCGGCCACACUGGGACUGAGACACGGCCCAGACUCCUACGGGAGGCAGCAGUAGGGAAUCUUCCGCAAUGGACGAAAGUCUGACGGAGCAACGCCGCGUGAGUGAUGAAGGUUUUCGGAUCGUAAAACUCUGUUGUUAGGGAAGAACAAGUGCCAUUCGAAUAGGUUGGCACCUUGACGGUACCUAACCAGAAAGCCCCGGCUAACUACGUGCCAGCAGCCGCGGUAAUACGUAGGGGGCAAGCGUUGUCCGGAAUUAUUGGGCGUAAAGCGCGCGCAGGCGGUCCUUUAAGUCUGAUGUGAAAGCCCACGGCUUAACCGUGGAGGGCCAUUGGAAACUGGGGGACUUGAGUACAGAAGAGGAGAGUGGAAUUCCACGUGUAGCGGUGAAAUGCGUAGAGAUGUGGAGGAACACCAGUGGCGAAGGCGACUCUCUGGUCUGUAACUGACGCUGAGGUGCGAAAGCGUGGGUAGCGAACAGGAUUAGAUACCCUGGUAGUCCACGCCGUA
rnacentral:rRNA from 1 species